CUUGCCUUUUGUUUUUUCCACAUACUGGUGAGGAAUCUCCAGACUUUUCAAUUUAAUGCCCACCAUGGAGAGCUUAAGCAACAGCUCUUACACUUUACGAUUCAGAAGUGGGAAAUUGCUUCCCAGAGUGGAUUACAUCUUAUCUGUUUUCUCUUUGAAAGCUUCCAGCUGUUCUCUAAUGAAGAGCUCUCCUGCUGCAAAAGAGCAGGGUCAGAAUAAUGUGCGAUAAAUAAGGCCUGGGACCACACAUUGAACAAUGAGGAGAAACAAAAUAUUGAAAAGCUGCCCAUUAAGUGAGAACCAUCCUUUCUAUACACUGAAUGAGGCAAGAGUCUUGUGGAAAAUAGCAUGUGAUCACCUAAUUAAAGACUGCAUCGUAAUGCCUAUACACAACUAAGGUUGCAAGGUCUACUGGCAGUUCAUUUCAGCCAGAAUGAUGAAGAAAGGACAAACCCUUGAGAGAAAUUCACCUGUGCUUUAACUCUAGUAAAAGGACUUCAAUGGAGUUAUAUCAGCAAUGAAUUUGGCUCUUUAUGCCUAUUGCUUCACUCUUAAUUUCCUCCAGUACCUCCUGCAGAGACGCACUGCAUUUAGAUGUUAUCAUGAAUAACAGAUAAAUGGAAAAGAGAUUUUAGUUUUCUUGGUCAAAACCUAACUAAUCUGUAAAUAUUUUAGGGCUUGUCUACACACAGAAUUUGUACCACUUUAACUAUACUGGUGUAACUAAAGCAGUACAACCUCCCACACCCGAGCAUGAACACUGUUAUACUGGUCCUGCAGGAAUUGUCCAGCAUCUUGAAGGACCAAACCCUUAAAGAUUGCUGGUCUGCAUGGCAAAGUGUGAGACUCACAAUAUGCAUCUGUUGAUAAUUCCAGUAAUAGGUAUGUGACCUUGUUUUAUUAAUAAUUUAACAGUAUUCAGAACUAUUUCCUCCUCCAUACAUCCCCAGCAAUUUUCUUUCAUCAUACCUGUCAAAGUAGUUUCAAUCCUACAACCAGGAAAGAAAAUAUAGAAACAUGUUAUUCACGAUGGCUGCUGAUCCUUCAGCUUCACCCAGGAGCAUGGACAGAGUAACUUAUAUAGGUCAGUCAUUUGUGAGUUCUCUUUGCUCAUGAGAAUAAUAGCUAUUAUAAUAGAGCUCAUCCAGCAUGUCAUAUAUAGUUUCUCCAAAUAAUCAUUUCUGGGUAGAAUUCAGUAGCUUUUACAGAAACACACAGAUAUACUUUUCAAAUUACUUUCCUGGAUGUCAUUACAUGUCAAACAUCACAGUCAACGACACUUAAAACUAUAUCACUGGCACGUUCAACUUCAUGAUUUACUUCAGUUCAUCUGAUAUAAUUCUGAUUCUGAAACACGAGGCAGUGGGCAGUGCUGAAGCAUCAGGCACUGGGCAGAUUUCUUUUAAACUGUCAUAAAAUAAUCUUUGAAUAAGACCUGGUGUUUAAAUAGUUGAUAAAACAGAACAAAUUAACAGCUGAAGUAUCUAUUGUAGAAUGACAUUUUCCAAAGAUGUCAUUUCCUCCCGUUAAUAUUCUGUUAUUGCCAUGGAAAACUAAAGCAAUGAAUGUUGAAUUAUGUCCAUAUUAUUGCUACCCAUGAUUAUUUAGAUUAUUAUUCAUAGCGUGUGUAUGCUUUUCUUCUCUUUAUGUGGAUGGUUGUACUAACCUCUAAAAACUGAAAGGGUUUUUUAUUUUUAAAUAAAAUUGUGU